UGUUCCCUUUUGUGGAUUUUUUCUGUUCUCUCUGUUGGUCUGUGGCUCCUCCCUUCAUCCACCAGAUGGCACCAGAGGCUGUUUUCUGUGGUUCAAGCACACCUGUGUUUCAUCAUCCAAUCAUAGUGAGCCUUAAGAGGAGCUGACGGUUUUUCCUCAUGAUGCCAAGUAUUCUCCUCGAGAAGACCUCGUUCUGGCUUUCUGGAUUUCCCCUCCUCGUGACGCCGUGGAUUAUUACUCACUGGUUGCCCGAGUCCCACCUUUUCCUCCUCCGUUUGAUCACAAACUGCUCCUGGACUCUCCAGCUGGCAGUCGGACUGCUCCUCUGUCUUCCUCCACGCCUGAACUUACCUGUCCGCCCUCCACCGCAGCCUCUACAUUUCCACACGGAACCUCUCUGAUUGAGCCACUCUCUGGAACCCGGUUCACCUUCUAGACCCACACAAAGGAUUCAUAAUCCCGAGCCCUCGGUCAACUCUCUCCCCAAAGGAAUGUUCCAUCAUUACAAUGUACCGACGACUUCUGAACCUGCCCCAGGGAUUAUUCUCACCUGACCUCUCUUGCCUUAUUGUAUUAAUAAAC